rnacentral:rRNA from 1 species
UGUUUCGGCUAGGGGGUCAUCCCGACUUACCAACCCGAUGCAAACUACGAAUACCGAAGAAUGUUAUCACGGGAGACACACGGCGGGUGCUAACGUCCGUCGUGAAGAGGGAAACAACCCAGACCGCCAGCUAAGGUCCCAAAGUCAUGGUUAAGUGGGAAACGAUGUGGGAAGGCCCAGACAGCCAGGAUGUUGGCUUAGAAGCAGCCAUCAUUUAAAGAAAGCGUAAUAGCUCACUGGUCGAGUCGGCCUGCGCGGAAGAUGUAACGGGGCUAAACCAUGCACCGAAGCUGCGGCAGCGACACUAUGUGUUGUUGGGUAGGGGAGCGUUCUGUAAGCCGUUGAAGGUGGCCUGUGAGGGUUGCUGGAGGUAUCAGAAGUGCGAAUGCUGACAUAAGUAACGAUAAUGCGGGUGAAAAACCCGCACGCCGGAAGACCAAGGGUUCCUGUCCAACGUUAAUCGGGGCAGGGUGAGUCGACCCCUAAGGCGAGGCCGAAAGGCGUAGUCGAUGGGAAACAGGUUAAUAUUCCUGUACUCGGUGUUACUGCGAAGGGGGGACGGAGAAGGCUAUGUUGGCCGGGCGACGGUUGUCCCGGUUUAAGCAUGUAGGCGGAUGUUCCAGGUAAAUCCGGAACGUUACUAACGCUGAGGUGUGAUGACGAGGCACUACGGUGCUGAAGUGACAAAUGCCCUGCUUCCAGGAAAAGCCUCUAAGCAUCAGGUAACAUCAAAUCGUACCCCAAACCGACACAGGUGGUCAGGUAGAGAAUACCAAGGCGCUUGAGAGAACUCGGGUGAAGGAACUAGGCAAAAUGGUGCCGUAACUUCGGGAGAAGGCACGCUGAUGGUAAGUGAAGCGACUUGCUC